rnacentral:rRNA from 1 species
AGUGGCGCACGGGUGCGUAACACGUAUGUAACCUACCUUAAUCAGGGGGAUAGCCUCUCGAAAGAGAGAUUAAGCCCGCAUAAAAUCACAUUGCAGCAUUGCAAAAUGAUCAAAUAUUUAUAGGAUUAAGAUGGGCAUGCGGAACAUUAGCUAGUUGGUAAGGUAACGGCUUACCAAGGCAACGAUGUUUAGGGGAUCUGAGAGGAUGACCCCCCACACUGGUACUGAGACACGGACCAGACUCCUACGGGAGGCAGCAGUAAGGAAUAUUGGUCAAUGGGCGGAAGCCUGAACCAGCCAUGCCGCGUGCAGGAAGACGGCCCUACGGGUUGUAAACUGCUUUUAUACGGGAAUAAACCCAGAUACGUGUAUCUGGCUGAAUGUACUGUAAGAAUAAGGAUCGGCUAACUCCGUGCCAGCAGCCGCGGUAAUACGGAGGAUCCAAGCGUUAUCCGGAUUUAUUGGGUUUAAAGGGUGCGUAGGCGGCUUUUUAAGUCAGGGGUGAAAGACGGUAGCUUAACUAUCGCAGUGCCCUUGAUACUGAAGAGCUUGAAUGUACUAGAGGUAGGCGGAAUGUGACAAGUAGCGGUGAAAUGCAUAGAUAUGUCACAGAACACCAAUUGCGAAGGCAGCUUACUAUGGUAUGAUUGACGCUGAGGCACGAAAGCGUGGGGAUCAAACAGGAUUAGAUACCCUGGUAGUCCACGCCCU